AGUGGGGAAUUUUGGACAAUGGGGGCAACCCUGAUCCAGCCAUGCCGCGUGCGGGGAGAAGGCCUUCGGGUUGUAAACCGCUUUUGGCAGGAACGAAACGGUGCGGGCGAAUAACCUGUGCUAAUGACGGUACCUGCAGAAUAAGCACCGGCUAACUACGUGCCAGCAGCCGCGGUAAUACGUAGGGUGCGAGCGUUAAUCGGAAUUACUGGGCGUAAAGCGUGCGCAGGCGGUUGUGCAAGACAGGUGUGAAAUCCCCGGGCUUAACCUGGGAACUGCAUUUGUGACUGCACAGCUAGAGUUUGUCAGAGGGGGGUGGAAUUCCACGUGUAGCAGUGAAAUGCGUAGAUAUGUGGAAGAACACCGAUGGCGAAGGCAGCCCCCUGGGAUGAGACUGACGCUCAUGCACGAAAGCGUGGGGAGCAAACAGGAUUAGAUACCCUGGUAGUCCACGCCCUAAACGAUGUCGACUAGUUGUCGGGGGGUAACACCCUUGGUAACGCAGCUCACGCGUGAAGUCGACCGCCUGGGGAGUACGGUCGCAAGAUUAAAA
rnacentral:rRNA from 1 species